UACGGAGGGGGCUAGCGUUGUUCGGAAUUACUGGGCGUAAAGCGCACGUAGGCGGCUUUGCAAGUCAGAGGUGAAAGCCCGGGGCUCAACCCCGGAAUUGCCUUUGAGACUGCAUCGCUAGAAUUGUGGAGAGGUAAGUGGAAUUCCGAGCGUAGAGGUGAAAUGCGUAGAGAUCCGGAGGAGCACCAAAGGCGAAGGCAGUGUCCUGGGGAGUACCUGACGCUCAGGUGCGAAAGCCAGGGGAGCGAACGGG
rnacentral:rRNA from 1 species